rnacentral:tRNA from 1 species
GCACCAAUGAUGGAACUGGUAGUCAUGCUUGUCUCAAAAGCAAGUGUCGAAAGACGUGUAGGUUCGAGUCCUACUUGGGGUACUA